CCAGGACCAGGGUUGGAGACCCCUGUUCUAGGGGGUACCUGUUAAGUCUGCCCUCAGUGUGAAGAGAAGACCACCGUACCCACCUCCCACACCCUACACAACAUGAUUACCAGAACCAAACAGGGAAUUCAGGUUGGUCUGCCCUUCUCACUCAGAACCGGUCUCUGCAUGGCCCUGUACUGACCCCUGGGCACCUCUGUUCCAGUCAGUAGAGGGUCAUCCCAGUUCUCCCUUGUUUUCUGGAACGUGUCCAGCUGCUGGCUGCACCUGCAGGAGUGCCUAUCGGAGCUGGCCUUGGUGGACAGUGAUAAGGAAACACCAGAAGACUGUCAAUCACUGUACAGGGGCCUGUCAAUCUGGAGGGCAGAAGCACCUGCUUUGGAGAAUUUCCAUGGAGAUCAAAGCAGACCAGUGGUCUUAAUGUUCACCUACCGUGGUUUUCAGUCAUUAGUCACAAUGUUCUUAGAAUUACAACUUUAAUUGAAAUGGGGUAUUAUCGUGAGGCGAGACACCAGCAGUGAGUUUGGCAAUGGAAAAUGGAUGCUUCUGUGGAAAUAGAUGUCAUACCUAGUUCAGA